UACGAAGGGUGCAAGCGUUCAUCGGAAUUACUGGGCGUAAAGGGUGCGUAGGCGGUUCGUUAAGUCUGUCGUGAAAUCCCCGGGCUCAACCUGGGAAUGGCGAUGGAUACUGGCGAGCUAGAGUGUGUCAGAGGAUGGUGGAAUUCCCGGUGUAGCGGUGAAAUGCGUAGAGAACGGGAGGAACACCAGUGGCGAAGGCGGCCUUCUGGACCAAUACUGACGCUCAUGCACGAAAGCGUGGGGAGCAAACAGG
rnacentral:rRNA from 1 species